UACGGAGAGUGCGAGCGUUAAUCGGAAUUACUGGGCGUAAAGCGCGCGUAGGCGGCGGGAUAAGCCGGGUGUGAAAGCCCGGGGCUCAACCUGGGAACGGCCUCCGGAACUGUCAGGCUAGAGUGCAGGAGAGGAGGGUAGAAUUCCCGGUGUAGCGGUGAAAUGCGUAGAGAUCGGGAGGAAUACCAGUGGCGAAGGCGGCCUUCUGGACUGACACUGACGCUGAGGUGCGAAAGCGUGGGUAGCAAACAGG
rnacentral:misc_RNA from 1 species